AUUGAACGCUGGCGGCAUGCCUUACACAUGCAAGUCGAACGGCAGCACGGGUGCUUGCACCUGGUGGCGAGUGGCGAACGGGUGAGUAAUACAUCGGAACAUGUCCUGUAGUGGGGGAUAGCCCGGCGAAAGCCGGAUUAAUACCGCAUACGAUCUACGGAUGAAAGCGGGGGACCUUCGGGCCUCGCGCUAUAGGGUUGGCCGAUGGCUGAUUAGCUAGUUGGUGGGGUAAAGGCCUACCAAGGCGACGAUCAGUAGCUGGUCUGAGAGGACGACCAGCCACACUGGGACUGAGACACGGCCCAGACUCCUACUGGAGGCAGCAGUGGGGAAUUUUGGACAAUGGGCGAAAGCCUGAUCCAGCAAUGCCGCGUGUGUGAAGAAGGCCUUCGGGUUGUAAAGCACUUUUGUCCGGAAAGAAAUCCUUGGCCCUAAUACGGUCGGGGGAUGACGGUACCGGAAGAAUAAGCACCGGCUAACUACGUG
rnacentral:rRNA from 1 species